UACGUAGGGUGCAAGCGUUGUCCGGAAUUAUUGGGCGUAAAGAGCUCGUAGGCGGUUUGUUGCGUCGGCUGUGAAAUCCCGAGGCUCAACCUCGGGUCUGCAGUCGAUACGAGCAAACUAGAGUGUUGCAGGGGAGGCUGGAAUUCCUGGUGUAGCGGUGAAAUGCGCAGAUAUCAGGAGGAACACCGGUGGCGAAGGCGGGUCUCUGGGACGGUACUGACGCUGAGACGCGAAAGCGUGGGGAGCGAACAGG
rnacentral:rRNA from 1 species